UACAGAGGGGGCAAGCGUUGUUCGGAAUUACUGGGCGUAAAGGGCUCGUAGGCGGCCAACUAAGUCAUACGUGAAAUCCCUCGGCUUAACCGGGGAACUGUGUCUGAUACUGGAUGGCUUGAGAUUGGGAGAGGGAUGCGGAAUUCCAGGUGUAGCGGUGAAAUGCGUAGAUAUCAGGAGGAACACCGGUGGCGAAGGCGGCAUCCUGGACCAACACUGACGCUGAGUGAGCGAAAGCCAGGGGAGCAAACGGG
rnacentral:rRNA from 1 species